CUUUAAGCUCAUUGCCAAAAUUGGGCCCCUGAAGAAGACCCCUGCAGUUUAAUUCAGAGGGAUUAUGAGAUGAUGAACAAGAGCGGCAAGCUGGCGGACGGGCUGACCAAUCACGAGCUUCAGAGGCAGACGCACAAACGAAAGCCGCAGCUCCGGCCAAUCCAAGUGACCGUUGUGUCUGUGGCAGAGUUACAACAUCAGCCAUAAUGUGAAGUGGGACCAUGGCUGGCCUGCUAUUCCCAGCCUGGGCAGCCCCCUGUCAGCCUCCUGACAGUUCCAGUGUUAGCAACAGGCAGUGGUAUCCUGGUACAGCUGUCAGACCACUCCACAGAUGGCAUCUAGGGGAUGGUCCUGUAGAACACGCAACUACUCAAACUCCGGCUGACUUAUUGUGUUCAAACUACCCAACAAAAUCAAAAACAUACAGCUGCCACAGUGCAUAA
rnacentral:lncRNA from 1 species